rnacentral:rRNA from 1 species
AUAACCGGCGAUUUCCGAAUGGGGAAACCCAGUGUGAUUCGUCACACUAUCAUUAACUGAAUCCAUAGGUUAAUGAGGCGAACCGGGGGAACUGAAACAUCUAAGUACCCCGAGGAAAAGAAAUCAACCGAGAUUCCCCCAGUAGCGGCGAGCGAACGGGGAGCAGCCCAGAGCCUGAAUCAGUGUGUGUGUUAGUGGAAGCGUCUGGAAAGGCGCGCGAUACAGGGUGACAGCCCCGUACACAAAAAUGCACAUGCUGUGAGCUCGAUGAGUAGGGCGGGACACGUGGUAUCCUGUCUGAAUAUGGGGGGACCAUCCUCCAAGGCUAAAUACUCCUGACUGACCGAUAGUGAACCAGUACCGUGAGGGAAAGGCGAAAAGAACCCCGGCGAGGGGAGUGAAAAAGAACCUGAAACCGUGUACGUACAAGCAGUGGGAGCCUCUUUAUGGGGUGACUGCGUACCUUUUGUAUAAUGGGUCAGCGACUUAUAUUCUGUAGCAAGGUUAACCGAAUAGGGGAGCCGAAGGGAAACCGAGUCUUAACUGGGCGUUAAGUUGCAGGGUAUAGACCCGAAACCCGGUGAUCUAGCCAUGGGCAGGUUGAAGGUUGGGUAACACUAACUGGAGGACCGAACCGACUAAUGUUGAAAAAUUAGCGGAUGACUUGUGGCUGGGGGUGAAAGGCCAAUCAAACCGGGAGAUAGCUGGUUCUCCCCGAAAGCUAUUUAGGUAGCGCCUCGUGAAUUCAUCUCCGGGGGUAGAGCACUGUUUCGGCAAGGGGGUCAUCCCGACUUACCAACCCGAUGCAAACUGCGAAUACCGGAGAAUGUUAUCACGGGAGACACACGGCGGGUGCUAACGUCCGUCGUGAAGAGGGAAACAACCCAGACCGCCAGCUAAGGUCCCAAAGUCAUGGUUAAGUGGGAAACGAUGUGGGAAGGCCCAGACAGCCAGGAUGUUGGCUUAGAAGCAGCCAUCAUUUAAAGAAAGCGUAAUAGCUCACUGGUCGAGUCGGCCUGCGCGGAAGAUGUAACGGGGCUAAACCAUGCACCGAAGCUGCGGCAGCGACGCUUUGCGUUGUUGGGUAGGGGAGCGUUCUGUAAGCCUGUGAAGGUGUACUGUGAGGUAUGCUGGAGGUAUCAGAAGUGCGAAUGCUGACAUAAGUAACGAUAAAGCGGGUGAAAAGCCCGCUCGCCGGAAGACCAAGGGUUCCUGUCCAACGUUAAUCGGGGCAGGGUGAGUCGACCCCUAAGGCGAGGCCGAAAGGCGUAGUCGAUGGGAAACAGGUUAAUAUUCCUGUACUUGGUGUUACUGCGAAGGGGGGACGGAGAAGGCUAUGUUGGCCGGGCGACGGUUGUCCCGGUUUAAGCGUGUAGGCUGGUUUUCCAGGCAAAUCCGGAAAAUCAAGGCUGAGGCGUGAUGACGAGGCACUACGGUGCUGAAGCAACAAAUGCCCUGCUUCCAGGAAAAGCCUCUAAGCAUCAGGUAACAUCAAAUCGUACCCCAAACCGACACAGGUGGUCAGGUAGAGAAUACCAAGGCGCUUGAGAGAACUCGGGUGAAGGAACUAGGCAAAAUGGUGCCGUAACUUCGGGAGAAGGCACGCUGAUAUGUAGGUGAAGCGACUUGCUCGUGGAGCUGAAAUCAGUCGAAGAUACCAGCUGGCUGCAACUGUUUAUUAAAAACACAGCACUGUGCAAACACGAAAGUGGACGUAUACGGUGUGACGCCUGCCCGGUGCCGGAAGGUUAAUUGAUGGGGUUAGCGGUAACGCGAAGCUCUUGAUCGAAGCCCCGGUAAACGGCGGCCGUAACUAUAACGGUCCUAAGGUAGCGAAAUUCCUUGUCGGGUAAGUUCCGACCUGCACGAAUGGCGUAAUGAUGGCCAGGCUGUCUCCACCCGAGACUCAGUGAAAUUGAACUCGCUGUGAAGAUGCAGUGUACCCGCGGCAAGACGGAAAGACCCCGUGAACCUUUACUAUAGCUUGACACUGAACAUUGAGCCUUGAUGUGUAGGAUAGGUGGGAGGCUUUGAAGUGUGGACGCCAGUCUGCAUGGAGCCGGCCUUGAAAUACCACCCUUUAAUGUUUGAUGUUCUAACGUUGACCCGUGAUCCGGGUUGCGGACAGUGUCUGGUGGGUAGUUUGACUGGGGCGGUCUCCUCCUAAAGAGUAACGGAGGAGCACGAAGGUUGGCUAAUCCUGGUCGGACAUCAGGAGGUUAGUGCAAUGGCAUAAGCCAGCUUGACUGCGAGCGUGACGGCGCGAGCAGGUGCGAAAGCAGGUCAUAGUGAUCCGGUGGUUCUGAAUGGAAGGGCCAUCGCUCAACGGAUAAAAGGUACUCCGGGGAUAACAGGCUGAUACCGCCCAAGAGUUCAUAUCGACGGCGGUGUUUGGCACCUCGAUGUCGGCUCAUCACAUCCUGGGGCUGAAGUAGGUCCCAAGGGUAUGGCUGUUCGCCAUUUAAAGUGGUACGCGAGCUGGGUUUAGAACGUCGUGAGACAGUUCGGUCCCUAUCUGCCGUGGGCGCUGGAGAACUGAGGGGGGCUGCUCCUAGUACGAGAGGACCGGAGUGGACGCAUCACUGGUGUUCGGGUUGUCAUGCCAAUGGCACUGCCCGGUAGCUAAAUGCGGAAGAGAUAAGUGCUGAAAGCAUCUAAGCACGAAACUUGCCCCGAGAUGAGUUCUCCCUGACUCCUUGA